NNNNNNNNNNNNNNNNNNNNNNNNNNNNNNNNNNNNNNNNNNNNNNNNNNNNNNNNNNNNNNNUCCCCAGGGUAGAGACACCAGCAUCUCCCCAGGGUAGAGACACCAGCAUCUCCCCAGCUCCACACCCAGUGGCGUCAGAGUGCGGUGGGAAGUCGGCCCCGGGCAGCGUUUACACCACAAAAACUGAUGGCCCCCAUCCGGGCUGCUGUCUUUAGUCCACCCGCAGAGCUGGCUGUUAAACACCUGCCCACGCCCACCAAGCCUCCGUCCGUCGUCCUUUGGGGUGGGGUCUCUGCGGGGUCAACAGAGUCCACAGCCUGCACAAGGGAGCCUGCAAACAGAGCAUGCUCACAUACAGAUUACACACACACACACACACAGAAACUACACACACACACAGAAACUACACACGCACACAGCAACUGCACACACACAGAGACUGCACACACACAGACUGCACACGCACACAGAGACUACACACACAUAGACUAUACACAUGCACAGAGGCUGCACACACACGCAGAGACUGCAGACACACGCAGAGACUGCACACACACAGAGACUGCACACACACAGACUGUACACACAGACUGCACACGCACACACAGACUACACACACAGAGACUGCACAUACACACAGAGACUGCACACACACAGACUGUACACACAGACUGCACACGCACACACAGACUACACACACAGAGACUACAUACACAGAGACUGCACACACAGAGACUACACACAUGCACAGAGGCUGCACACACACACAGACUGCACACACAGACUGCACACACACACAGACAGCACAUGCACACACAGAGACUACACACAUGCACAGAGGCUGCACACACACACAGACUACACACACGCACAGAGGCUGCACACACACACAGAGACUGCACACACAGACUACACACACAGAGACUGCACACAGAGGCUGCACACACACACAGAGGCUGCACACACACAAAGGAUGCACACACAGACUGCACACACACAGAGGCUGCACACACACAAAGGAUGCACACACAGACUGCACACACAGCGACUGCACACACACACAAACUACACAUACACAGACAGCAAACACACAGAGUACAUACACACACAAAAGAUGCACACACAGAGACUACACACACAGAGGCUGCACAUACACAGAGACUGCACACACACAGAGACUACACACACAGAGACACUACACAUACACAGACUACACACACACACAGUGACUGCACACACACAGACUACACACAGAGACUGCACACACACAGAGGAUGCACACAGAGACUGCACACACAGAGAGUACACACAUACAGACUGCAUGCACACACAGACUACACACACACAGAGACUGCGCACACAGAGGCUGCACACACACAGAGGCUGCACACACACAGCAACUGCACACAGACUACACACACACAGACUACACACACACAAAGACUGCACACACACACAGGAUGCACACACACAGAGACUGCACACACACAGACUACACACACACAGCGACUGCACACACAGAGACUACACACACACAGAGACUGCACACACAGAGGCUGCACACACAGACUACACACACACAGUGGCUGCACACAGACUGCACACACAGACUACACGCACACACAGAGGCUGCACACAGACUGCACACACACAGACUGCACACACAGACUACACACACACAGAGGCUGCACACACAGACUACACACACAGACUGCACACACAGAGAGACUACACACACAGACUGCACACAGAGACUGCACACACACAGACUACACACACAGAGACUGCACACACACAGAGAAUACACACACACAGAGAAGCUACACACACACAGGCUGCACACACACACAGACUGCACACACACUGAAUGCCCCAUACCAACUCCACAAUCACCAGGGUGCCUGCACUCACACCAGUGAUGACACGUGUGCCUACGUUAAAUCCCCCAAUAGAGAGGGAAUGCUUGUGCAAUGGCAUCGGCCACAGAGCAGGUGCUACACACAUCGGCUCCCUCUUCCUGCGGUCCCCGCUGCCUGACCCUGGUGUCCCUCCCUGGCCCUCACCCCUUCCCUGGUCCUGGUUUCCACCUCUUCUCAUACUUUCUUGUUUCACUAGCCCAAAGACAACAACAUUGGCCGCACUGAUUAGCAGUAGGGUCCCUGGGUGUGGCCUCCAGGUGUGAAAAUGCCCAGUGACAAAACAAUCUGGUCUGAAUAGGAACACCUCCAUGGAAAGGUCUGGCCUAUCUCCUCCAGCAGGACAUAUGCCCACCCUCCAACCCAUCAGUCCAGCCUGUGACAUAUGCCCACCCUCCUACCCAUCAGUCCAGCCUGUGACAUACCAGUGCAAAAUGUGUGAAUCGUGCGCCAAAAGACAUGCACACGGCCGAGCGGGAUGCUCACUCCUGUAAUGCCAGCACUUCGGGAGGCCAAGGCCAGUGGAUCACCUGAGAUCAGGAGUUCGAGACCAGCCUGGCCAACAUGAUGAAACCUCAUCUCUACUAAAAAUACAAAAAAUUAGCCAGGCAUGAUGGCAGGAGCCUGUAAUCCCAGCUACUCGGGAGACUGAGGCAGGAUUGCUUGAACUCAGGAGGCAGAGGCUGAAGUGAGCCAAGAUCGUGCCACUGCACUCCAGCCUGGGCAACAAGAGCAAAACUCCAUCUCAAAAAUACAAGAUGUGCACACCUGCUCACAAUGGUGCUGUUUAUAAUUGCCCUAAAGCAGAAUUACUCAAAUGCCCACAGCCCAAUAGAUGGUGGCACUAUCAUAAUGGGCCAUUAUUCAGCAACGAGGGUG
rnacentral:lncRNA from 13 species